rnacentral:rRNA from 1 species
UACGAAGGGGGCUAGCGUUGUUCGGAAUUACUGGGCGUAAAGCGCGCGCAGGCGGCUAUCCAAGUCAGUGGUGAAAGCCCGGAGCUCAACUCCGGAACUGCCAUUGAAACUGUUUAGCUUGAGGAUGAGAGAGGUGAGUGGAAUUCCCAGUGUAGAGGUGAAAUUCGUAGAUAUUGGGAAGAACACCGGUGGCGAAGGCGGCUACCUGGACCAGCACUGACACUGAAGCACGAAAGCGUGGGGAGCAAACAGG